rnacentral:rRNA from 1 species
UAGUUGGUGGGGUAAAGGCCUACCAAGGCGACGAUCAGUAGCGGGUCCGAGAGGAUGAUCCGCCACACUGGGACUGAGACACGGCCCAGACUCCUACGGGAGGCAGCAGUGGGGAAUUUUGGACAAUGGGGGCAACCCUGAUCCAGCCAUUCCGCGUGAGUGAAGAAGGCCUUCGGGUUGUAAAGCUCUUUCAGCUGGAACGAAACGGUACAUCCUAAUACGGUGUGCUAAUGACGGUACCAGCAGAAGAAGCACCGGCUAACUACGUGCCAGCAGCCGCGGUAAUACGUAGGGUGCGAGCGUUAAUCGGAAUUACUGGGCGUAAAGCGUGCGCAGGCGGAUUGUUAAGCAAGAUGUGAAAUCCCCGGGCUUAACCUGGGAAUGGCAUUUUGAACUGGCAGUCUAGAGUGCGUCAGAGGGGGGUGGAAUUCCACGUGUAGCAGUGAAAUGCGUAGAGAUGUGGAGGAACACCAAUGGCGAAGGCAGCCCCCUGGGAUGACACUGACGCUCAUGUACGAAAGCGUGGGUAGCAAACAGGAUUAGAUACCCUGGUAGUCCACGCCCUAAACGAUGUCAACUGGUUGUUGGGGGAGUGAAAUCCCUUAGUAACGAAGCUAACGCGUGAAGUUGACCGCCUGGGGAGUACGGUCGCAAGAUUAAAACUCAAAGGAAUUGACGGGGACCCGCACAAGCGGUGGAUGAUGUGGAUUAAUUCGAUGCAACGCGAAAAACCUUACCUACCCUUGACAUGUCCAGAACCCUGCAGAGAUGCGGGGGUGCCCGAAAGGGAAUUGGAACACAGGUGCUGCAUGGCUGUCGUCAGCUCGUGUCGUGAGAUGUUGGGUUAAGUCCCGCAACGAGCGCAACCCUUAUCACUAGUUGCUACGCAAGGGCACUCUAAUGAGACUGCCGG